rnacentral:rRNA from 1 species
GAUGAACGUUGGCGGCGUGCCUAAUACAUGCAAGUCGAACGAAGACUGUAGUAAUACUGUCUUAGUGGCGAACGGGUGAGUAACGCGUGGGUGACCUGCCCCGAAGUGUGGGAUAACAGUUCGAAAGGAUUGCUAAUACUGCAUAAUAUCCAAGAGAUUAGACGCUUUUGGAUUAAAGGAGUAAUUCGCUUCGGGAGGGGCCCGCGUCCCAUCAGCUAGUUGGUAAGGUAAUGGCUUACCAAGGCGAUGACGGGUAGGGGACCUGAGAGGGUGGCCCCCCACAAUGGAACUGAAACACGGUCCAUACACCUACGGGUGGCAGCAGUAGGGAAUAUUAGUAAUGGGCGAAAGCCUGAACUAGCAACGCCGCGUGUGCGAAGAAGGCCUCGGUUGUAAGACACUUUUGUAGAGGAUGAGGAAGGACGGUACGUCUCAGAAUAAGUCUCGGCUAACUACGUG